UACUCCUACGGGAGGCAGCAGUGGGGAAUCUUGCGCAAUGGGCGAAAGCCUGACGCAGCAACGCCGCGUGGGGGAUGAAGCUUCUCGGAGUGUAAACCCCUUUCGACCCGGACGAAUCCCCGCAAGGGGUUGACGGUACGGGUAGAAGAAGCCCCGGCUAACUACGUGCCAGCAGCCGCGGUAAAACGUAGGGGGCCAGCGUUGCUCGGAAUUACUGGGCGUAAAGGGUCCGUAGGCGGUGCGGCAAGUCGGAAGUGAAAUCUCUGGGCUUAACCCAGAGGCUGCUCCCGAAACUGCCGUGCUCGAGUGCGAGAGAGGCGAGUGGAAUUGCGGGUGUAGCGGUGAAAUGCGUAGAUAUCCGCAGGAACAUCCGAGGCGAAAGCGGCUCGCUGGAUCGCAACUGACGCUGAGGGACGRAARSYWRGGGRRSMAAMCAGGAUUAGAUACCCUGGUAGUCCUAGCCCUAAACGAUCAGGACUUGGGGUGGGCCCUGUACGGGGUUCGUCCCGGAGCUAACGCGUUAAGUCCUGCGCCUGGGGAGUACGGUCGKAAGGCCGAAACUCAAAUGAAUUGACGG
rnacentral:rRNA from 1 species